rnacentral:tRNA from 1 species
UCCUGUAGCUCAAGUGGUAAAGAAUCUGCCUGCAAUGCAGAAGACCCAGGUUUGAUCCCUGGGUCAGGAA